AUUUCUUAACUAUUUAUAUAGUUUAAGAAAAACGUUACAUUUUCAUUGUAAAAUCAUAUUUUUUAUAUUAUAA
rnacentral:tRNA from 1 species